rnacentral:rRNA from 1 species
GAUGAACGCUGGCGGCGUGCCUAAUACAUGCAAGUCGAGCGAACGGACGAUAAGCUUGCUUCUCUGAUGUUAUCGGCUGACGUGUGAGUAACACGUGUAUAACCUACCUAUAUGACUUGUAUAACUUCGGGAAACCGUAUCUCAUACCGGAUAAUAUUUUGAACCGCAUUGUUCAAAAGUUUAAGACGUUCUUUCUGUCUCUUAUAGAUUGUUCCGCGAUUCAUUAGCUAGUUGGUAAGGUAACGGCUUACCAAGGCAACGAUGCAUAGCCGACCUGAGAGGGUGAUCGGCCACACUGGAACUGAGACACGGUACAGACUCCUACGGGAGGCAGCAGUAGGGAAUCUUCCGCAAUGGGCGAAAGCAUGACGGAGCAAAGCCGCGUGAGUGAUGAAGGUCUGAGGAUCGUAAAACUCUGUUAUUAGGGAAGAACAUAUGUGUAAGUAACUGUGCACAUCUUGACGGUAACUAAUCAGAAAGCAACGGCUAACUACGUG